rnacentral:rRNA from 1 species
GUAGGUGGCAAGCGUUGUCCGGAAUUAUUGGGCGUAAAGCGCGCGCAGGCGGUCCUUUAAGUCUGAUGUGAAAGCCCACGGCUCAACCGUGGAGGGUCAUUGGAAACUGGGGGACUUGAGUACAGAAGAGGAAAGCGGAAUUCCAAGUGUAGCGGUGAAAUGCGUAGAGAUUUGGAGGAACACCAGUGGCGAAGGCGGCUUUCUGGUCUGUAACUGACGCUGAGGCGCAAAAGCGUGGGGAGCAAACAGGGAUUAGAUACCCUGGUAGUCCACGCCGUAAACGAUGAGUGCUAAGUGUUAGGGGGUUUCCCGCCCCUUAGUGCUGCAGCUAACGCAUUAAGCACUCCGCCUGGGGAGUACGGCCGCAAGGCUG